AAGUCGUAACAAGGUUUCCGUAGGUGAACCUGCGGAAGGAUCAUUACCGAGUUCAUGCCCUUACGGGUAGAUCUCCACCCUUGAAUACAAACUCUUGUUGCUUUGGCGGGCCGCUUCGGCUACUGGCUUCAGCUGGUGAGUGCCCGCCAGAGAACCCUAAACUUUGAAUUAUAGUGUCGUCUGAGUACUAUAUAAUAGUUAAAACUUUCAACAACGGAUCUCUUGGUUCUG
rnacentral:misc_RNA from 1 species